rnacentral:tRNA from 1 species
GCCGGCUCAGUGGUCUAGUGGUUGAGCGGUCGCGCGCGAGACUGAUAGGUCCAGGGUUCGAAUCCCGCGAGGCGGC